GAUGAACGCUGGCGGCGUGCCUAAUACAUGCAAGUCGAGCGAACAGACGAGGAGCUUGCUCCUCUGACGUUAGCGGCGGACGGGUGAGUAACGCGUGGAUAACCUACCUAUAAGACUGGGAUAACUUCGGGAAACCGGAGCUAAUUCCGGAUAAUAUAUUGAACCGCAUGGUUCAAUAGUGAAAGACGGUUUUGCUGUCACUUAUAGAUGGAUCCGCGCCGCAUUAGCUAGUUGGUAAGGUAACGGCUUACCAAGGCAACGAUGCGUAGCCGACCUGAGAGGGUGAUCGGCCACACUGGAACUGAGACACGGUCCAGACUCCUACGGGAGGCAGCAGUAGGGAAUCUUCCGCAAUGGGCGAAAGCCUGACGGAGCAACGCCGCGUGAGUGAUGAAGGUCUUCGGAUCGUAAAACUCUGUUAUUAGGGAAGAACAAAUGUGUAAGUAACUAUGCACGUCUUGACGGUACCUAAUCAGAAAGCCACGGCUAACUACGUG
rnacentral:rRNA from 1 species